AUUGAACGCUGGCGGCAGGCCUAACACAUGCAAGUCGAGCGGAUGAAGGGAGCUUGCUCCUGGAUUCAGCGGCGGACGGGUGAGUAAUGCCUAGGAAUCUGCCUGGUAGUGGGGGAUAACGUCCGGAAACGGGCGCUAAUACCGCAUACGUCCUGAGGGAGAAAGUGGGGGAUCUUCGGACCUCACGCUAUCAGAUGAGCCUAGGUCGGAUUAGCUAGUUGGUGGGGUAAAGGCCUACCAAGGCGACGAUCCGUAACUGGUCUGAGAGGAUGAUCAGUCACACUGGAACUGAGGCACGGUCCAGACUCCUACGGGAGGCAGCAGUGGGGAAUAUUGGACAAUGGGCGAAAGCCUGAUCCAGCCAUGCCGCGUGUGUGAAGAAGGUCUUCGGAUUGUAAAGCACUUUAAGUUGGGGGAAGGGCAGUAAGUUAAUACCUUGCUGUUUUGACGUUACCAACAGAAUAAGCACCGGCUAACUUCGUG
rnacentral:rRNA from 1 species